CUUUCAAGUGAUAUAAAUCUUACAAUAGGGUUUUCUUUGCGACUCCUUGGUAGUCAGAGGUAAUACCUAACCCACUGAGUAAUGGAAUUCAAGUUCUCCUCUCAGAUUGAGCCUAGAGAAAAAUAUCUUGUUCUGCAAAUUGUUAUUAAUUUAAAUCUUAUUUCGCCAUACUUUUUCCCGUGAGUAUUCACUUUAAAUGAAUAGAAUACGUCCUACAAUCAGUAGAUCAAUUAGGCGUAAUUAUAUAAAAAAAAACUGUAUUGAUUUUUUCCUGGAUCUAACCGCGUUGUCAUCACUUCUGGUAAUGAUCGAUUGUUCAUUUUCAUUCCUUUUUCUCCACUUCUGUCAUACAUAUACAUCUACUACUGAAUCCACUGAACGCGAAUUUAGCCUUCGUAACUUCCGUGAGCAACCACUUGCAACUUAUUUAACACUAGAUUUACCAGACCAGUCAUUUUGACUGGUCGUGCAAUUUCAAUUUAAAAUUCCUACGACAUAUUACAUUUGCUUUCCGAAAUGAUGUUAUGACUUUUGUAGCUAUAAGUAGAAAAAACAUUUUAUAAACUUAAUGUUACUUAAUAUUUAUUACUAACAAAUAUAUUUUUUUGUUAUUGACAUUUAAACCAGUACCAGUCAAACUGACUGGUGCAUGUUUCUAUGAAGAAAUGUAUGAGAGCGUUUUAAUUUCAACAUAUUUUGACAGCAAUUGUCAGCCCCUGAAAAUGUUCUGCAUAUUUAGAAAAUGCAACCAGCAUACCUCUGGAAUGUUCAGAUGUGGAAAGUGAAUUAUACGACAGCGGCGAUGAUUUGUUAGAUAGAAAAAUUGAUUCUCAAGGAAGUGAUGAUAACAGUGCUAUUAUCGAGAGUAGUGAUGAGGAAAUUCCUGAUGAUGACAAUAUAGAUGAGCCAAGCGACAGUGGUUGCGUAAAAAUUCCAAUCAAGCGUACCAAAUCAGCAAACUGAAAUUGCUUUAGACGGAACUAUUUGAACGAGAAUUGAAGAAGGAGGUGUUGCUGGUAGAUUACUAGUUCAUAGUAAUUUCAAAGAUGUACACGGUCCAACAGCACAUGCUGAAAGAAAUAUUAUGAACGGGAAUCUAAGUAGUGCGUUCCAAUUACUGAUUGAUAACCAUAUUUUGGAACAUAUACGAAUUUGUACAGAGUUAGAAGCCUCUCGAGUUUUGGAAAAAAGUGGACAAUUACACAAGAAAAAUUGAAGGCAUCUCUUGCAAUAUUGUGCGCGCGUGGGGCGUACGAAGGAAAUAGCUUCAAACAGGGGAUGAACUUAUAUUACCGGGGAUAAGCAACUUUUUCCAUCGGAGGCCAGAUGCAGAUUUACUCAGUAUUUUCCAAACAAACCCCAUAAAUUUAGCAUAAAAUUCUAAUUGGCGUCUGAUGUAGAGACGAAAUAUGUGAUAAAUGGCUUUCCUUAUUUAGGAAAAAGCGAGACUCGAAAUGCAUCAAUCCCCCUAUGCAAAUUUGUCGUAAUGAAAUUUCUUGAACCGUAUACCAUGAAGGAGCGUAAAACUGAUAUUUUUUACAAGUAUUCCUUUGGCGUUAAAAUUAAGAUCUCAAAAUACUUCGUUGCUUGGAACGAUACGCGCUUCUAUUGGCAACCAGACAUAUUUUGGCGUCGAUGUCACUGAUCGAAUGGAAAUCAGGUUCCAGAAGGUGACCACUUCAACUGUUUUUCAAUAAUUUAGUUUCAGCCGGAAGAAAUAGCUGGAUAUUGAACAAAACAUAACAGGAGAAAAUAUCUCACGAGAAGACUUUCUGUUUCAAUUAGCAAAAGAACUUGCUUCAGAAUAUCAGACUUCAAGGCAAAUACCACACGAAGCUGAUAUACCAACUACAAAUGGCACUGUUUCUGUACGCAAAUGGUGUCAAAUAGAAUAUUUUAAUAACAAUAAGACUACAAAUAUUUGCAAUAAAUGCAAAAAAAGUCUAUGUAGAAAGUGUAUACACUGCAAAAUCUAUUGUGAGCAACAAACUGUAAACAAUUAAGUGUUUUGUUAUUUGACAAUGUCUAUUAGUCCAUUUAUCUAUCACAAUUAAUAUUGUUCAACUUAUUUUCGCCAUUUGAUAAGUAAUAGUACAGACUGGAACCACAAUAUUCAUUUUUUCUUAUACACCAGUCAUUUUGACUGGUGCUGGUAGAAAUAGGUAUAUAUAAAUAGCUGGUAAAUCUAGUGUUAACACGGGGUCGUUUCCAUACUAGGCGGUACAGGAUAGUCCCGAUCUUCUGAACAGACUUGAAUGAACUAAAAACAUCCGUAGCCGAUCGAGUCAACUAGAAAAAUAAGCUAGCGGCGGUCGCCGUUGGCCCCAUUUUUCUUGUUGAAAAAAACCGGCGUCGACAUUUUCAAAUAUGGCGUCGACCGCCGAAAUUUUUGACGACAGAAGUGUCUGUCUCCUGGUCUGCUAUACAUUUUCUGUAGGCGUUAAGAUCAACACUGAAAAAUAUUUCGACAUAAAAAAGCGCAAAAUAAAAAAAAUACUAAGUCAGCGCUAUUAUCUUAAGUCACCAAAGUGAAGUUGUGUACUCUAGCUUCUUCUUCUUCUUGGAUGGCACUACCGUUCCAGUGAAACUUUUGCCUUCUCAACGCAGCAUUACUUGCGUCAUUUUUAUUAGUAGUGCUUGGUUGAGAUUUCUAUGCCGAAUAACACGCCUUGAAUGUACUCUGGAGGGGCAAGCUCUAGAAUACGCGUGACCACAGUGCAAGCCGGAAGAAUUUUCUUUCACGAAAAAUCCCCCGACCAGAACGGGAAUCGAACCCGAACCCCCGGCAUGAUAGUGUGGGACGCUAACCACUCGGCCACGGGAGCACGUACUCUAGCGCCGAAUCGUAAUGAAAAUAUUCGGUGGCGGAGUUGCGCCGUGGCGAAUUUUCGUUCGGCAAUGAAACGAUUGCGAUGAGUUGUGAUGAUAUUGAAAGUGGAAUACAGCUGGAAUCCGACGAAUGCAUGGAAAUUGAGGUAGGUUCAGUUUGUAUUAAUCUAUGACUUCAGUAAAAAUUUUAUUACGACAAAAUUAAUUCAUAAUAAAAAUUGCGCUUUUUUCUGUGUGGCAUUCAUACCCCUGAGUUCACUUUUUAAAAACAUGAAUAGAAACUAUUGCUACAUGUUCUUUAAAUGUAUUAUUAAAAGAGCUUCUGAAUGUUUCCACCAGAACCCAAUGAUAAAUGGGUCUGAAAAGUUGAACGAAUUGGUAUGAAAAUAUGGAGAAAUUUGCGUUAGUGAUACUAAAGCCUAUGAUCAUAACGCGAAAUCCAACAGUCACAUAAUUUCCGUUGUUUCCUAUUAUAAGAAGAGAUGUCGACCAGGAAUAUCAUUUCAUAAUCAAAAGGGAUGAAACACGGUACGUGGAAUGGAUUCAACGGAUAAAAAUUGAAAAUCAUCCGGCUAAGCAGUUUAAAUUUCAGCAUGUCGAUAUUCUACUAAGUAAUUAUCAUCAAUUUUCACGUAUUAUUUUUUUCAGAAACAAAACGUUUAACUAAACUAUUAAUUUGUAUGGCUCGAACCUUGGCGAUGGUAAUUGAGGACAGGUUAAAAACUCUCAAGCCAUUAUUGUUCACCUGUUCAACACAAACGAGCAGCAAUUCAUUUAAUCCUCGACGACCAAACGAUUUUCUCCGGCAGCGAAAUUGAAAAUAUCGACAGAUCAAGAAAUCAUGUCUAUAUAUUUUUUAUCUGCUUCUAUAGAAAUUUCCCACCCUAAUUAAAAUAAACAUUAGAGAAAAUCAAUUUGAGUAUUUUAUGCGUCUGAAUAAACCACAAAAACGUAAACAUCGAUUAAAUUUUCUUCUACGCUUCAUCUGAUUCGCUACUCAAAAGUGUCGUUUGACUGACCGAUGAAAAAACACUUUCGUACGAAAACGAGGAUAGGGCAAUUCGUUCGAACGAACGAUGUUCGAAUGUUCGAACGGAUAGAUUUCUUUCGUACGAAACCAAGGAUACGAAUGAGGCAUUCUUUCGAACGUUUUGUGUUCGUUCGAAAACAAGAAUAAGGGUGUUUAUUUUUUUGGUUCGUUAAGUUAGUGUAUAGAAUAAUAUUAGGUGAUUAAUAGCAGUAAUAGACGAUAAUAUCUACUGUUUGCGCCACGCGGAGCGAGCGCAUACGUGUUGCGACAUGACCUGUCAUUCCAUUGCAUCACCGAGAGACGUGCGAAAGUGAGAUGAAAGCAGUAUCAACACAACAAACGAAUAUCACCCGAGCUAUCCGAGCGAAGCCGACAGGACAAAUACCCCACCAGAGCAGAACAUGAUCCAUUCCACGACGAUCCAUUUCGUUUGGAACACUAAUUUUCCGUACACCAGCCGAAACAAUUUCUAUCCUUUUCAUUCAAUCGCAUCACCAAGAGACGUGCGAAAGUGAGAUGAAAGCAGUAUCAACACAACAAACUAAUAUCACCCGAGCUAACCGAGCGAAGCCGACAGGACAAACACCCCACCAAUUUCAGGGAGUAUAAAAGUAGCAGAGCAGCAUAUGAUCCAUCUUUAUAAGUUUUUAUUCACCACGUGUAUUUAGAAACCAUUAGAGAAAGUUAUAGUGAAAAUUUGGACUUUGAAAACUAGUGUCGUUUUUUCCUACAGUAAAUUUAGUCAGACCCUUUCCAACCGGAGUACUAUAAGGAUUGAGAAAUGUGUACUGUGAAGAUGGCAUCCUCUUAUAAAAUUAAUUUAGAGAUGUGUUUAGAAGCGGUUAACAGUUUAAUUUCAACCAAGUGCCUAGAAUAUGAUUUCAAGUUAAAUUUUAAGAACAUGCAAGUAAUUUUGGAGCGUAUGGGAUUAGAUAAAACGAACUAUCCUAGUAUGAAGGUAAUCAAAAGCCUUCUAAUGAAACAUCGAAAAUCCGUAAAACGGUUUGCUCCUGAGAUUACUUUGCAGAAUUGUUGGGAUGCAGCGAAUGAUUUGAUCGCUAGAGAAGAGUUGGAUGAGCUAUUCGAAUUGAAUUCUAAGAAUCUGAAAGAAAUUCUUGUAGAAAUGGGAUUAAACGAAAAAUGCGCACCUAACUUAAAAAAAGUUAGGAAUAACUUCGCUUGUAAUCCAACAUAUAAGAAGUAUCGUGCAGAACGAAAGGUGAGAACCCUUAUAAUUGUUAUAAGCUUCCUGAAAUUAAUAAAACUAUUUUGAAAUUUUCAAUGUGAAAUCAUUUCCGCAGAAUAUUGAACAUUCAAUUGCCGCUGAAAGUCAUAACGUAAGUGUAAAAUAUCAAAUUGCUUUGAAAUAGUCACGCCAUACAGUAACUUCAAAUUUUUAUAGAUCGAUAAUUUCAAAGAAUGUUCUUUUGAGAAUGAAAGUGCCUGCUUGCCACAAGACUGCGUUGGAGUUCAUGAACAGCUUUUAUUAAAUAAAACAGAUCAUAUGUCCGAAACAAACUCAUCUCCUUCACGUGUCGAAACAAGAACAUUAUCAUUUGUAUCAUUUGACACAAACGAUUUCGAGGAAUUGGCCGACUCUCAAAGUACUACUUUUGACGGCGUUGAUAAUACGGGAAAAGAUAACGAACAACCUCCAUUCGGAUUUUUAUUGAAAGGAACAGAUUUAUCGCGUGUCGAAAUAAAAUCAUUAUCCGUCGAGUUUCCUGCAAAAGUAUGUAAGAAAGGAAUGGAACUUAAUGCUCCAGAAAUUGAAUGUCGCA